AAAAAAAAUAUUGAUAAUGCAAAAGAAUAAAGUUUGUUUAGUGACGUGGGUGUUUAAAUGAAAUAGGGGAUGCAGAAAGUAAAAAAUAAAGAAAACAGAUUGGACAAGAAAACUUGAAAUAGUUGUGAGUUGUGUAAAUUAAAUAAGGGCUGCAGAGAGUAAAACAUUUAGGCAGCAACAUAUUGGACUAGAAAAUUGAAAAUACUGAUGUGGGGUGUGUAAAUUUAAUAAGGGCUGCAGAGAGUAAAAAAUUUGGGCAGCAGCAUAUUGGGCUAGAAAAUUGAAGUACUGAUGUGGGGAGUGUAAAUUUAAUAAGGGUUGCAGAGAGUAAAAACUUUGGGCAGCAGCAUAUUGGGCUAGAAAAUGGCAAAUACUGAUGUGGGGUGUGUAAAUUUAAUAAGGGCUGCAGAGAGUAAAAACUUUGGGCAGCAUAUUGGGCCAAAAAAUUAGAAAAAAUGAUGUGGGGUGUGUAAAUUAAAUAAGGGCUACAGAGAGUAAAAAUAUUGACCAGGAUAUUGGGCCAGAAAAUUAGAAAAAGUGAUGUGGGGUGUGUAAAUUAAAUAAGGGCUGCAGAGAGUAAAAGAAUUGGCCAGUAUAUUGGGCCAGAAAAUUAGAAAAAGUGAUGUGAGGUGUGUAAAUUAAAUAAGGCUGCAGAGUGUAAAAAAAUUGGCCAGCAUAUUGGGCCAGAAAAUUAUAAAAAGUGAUGUGGGGUGUGUAAACUAAAUUAGGCUGCAGAGAGUAAAAAAAUUGGCCACCAUAUUGGGCCAGAAAAUUAGAAAAAGUGAUGUGGGGUGUGUAAAUUAAAUAAGGGCUGCAGAGAGUAAAAGAAUUGGCCAACAUAUUGGGCCAGAAAAUUAGAAAAAGUGAUGUGGGGUGUGUAAAUUAAAUAAGGCUGCUCCAGAAACU
rnacentral:lncRNA from 1 species